GACAGGUUGCUGUAUUUCAAAAUGAGGUGGCAAGUUAAAAUGUGUUCAAGGCAAGAUGGAAACUUAGAUUAAAAAUUCUGAUGUUUUUUUGGCUGAAGCUUCACCAGAUUUGCAAAGGGCUGGAAUGAACCCCAAGCUAUAUAUUUUGAUCAGUCACUGAUGGUACUCGUAGGGAGGUGAUGAGGGAAGGAACAACCUGCUAAGAAUCUCUGUGAUGUUCAUGAUGAUCAAAACAACAGAGCAUGAUUUCCUGCAUUACCGAUAGAGCCACCAGAGAGGCACAUUUGUUUUCCAGAGAGCAAUUCAGCUGGGCCUUGAUUCUUCAUUUCUGUGUGUUGGAUUCAAUCACCCAAGCAGCGCAAAGCAGGAUAACAAUUGUACCAAAUCAAAGCAGACAGACUUCAUGUUAAAAUUUGCUGCUGCAAAUGGCUGUGUGCAGCCCACAGGAAGGCAGAUCCACUUGCUGGUUUUCCUGAGGGCCCUACAGAGAGGAACAUUUUUUGAUCAUUUCAUGCAUACAUCAGACUGUACCCUUGGAAGAUAUUCUGGACCAUAGGAGUCAUUGUGGCUUUUGCGUUGCCUUUGAUAGGUUUGUAUUUGGCCCCUAGGAGCUUCUCUGAAGCACAGGAGGGCAGUGCUGUCAGGACUGGGAUGUCCAGCAAAGCCUGGAUGUGGACUGAUGAAUAAUGUGAGAACUUCAUUCUUUUUCACACUGUGGUCGCCUUCUGGAGCGCACACAAUUCUCUGUCCUAGGAUGCAUGAGCCGUCCUACUUUUAGUUUUAGCCAUUCUGCUGGAGGUUAGAGUCACCAAAGUUUGUUCAACACGUCACCACAUGGCUCACACCACUGGAACAAGUGCAGUAUUCUUCUAACUUUUGUUGAUAAAAUGGUAUCAUAGUGUUCCACAUUUAUGGCAUCUUAAGUGAUAACAGAUCAAGUGAUUUAAUGACCAAAUCGUUUUUGUGUGUACGUUAGCUUUUUGUCUACCAGAGCACUCACACUGAUUUAUUUUCAAUUCUGCACAAUAAAAACUUUUGAAAAUCCUUUAAAAUUUUUGCCAGCACGUCUUCAGCUCAUACUGAACUGAGAUCAGCCAAUCACAGUUGCCAUGAGCUAUUUUCUUUCUCCUAACUGGGUUGGUUCAGACCAGCUGUAGGUUGAGAUGGAAACCAGCCUCGAUGUGCUGAGAAAUAAUAAAUUGUUCAGGCAUGUGAAGUCCAAGAAGAAAGAAAACCCAGUUCAUGCCAUUCUGUGCCAUCUGCAGAAGUGAAAUAGUCAAAAAGUUACCACAAGAGAGAGAAACGUUUUUAAAUAUGAACAUGUUGUAUGAGGAGGAAGUUUCCACUUUUACAUUCUCUCUUGUUGCAAGUGAAGCCAAGGCAAUAAGCUUGCGAUUUCAAUAACAGGAAUACGACUCUGAGAUCACGUAUUGCAAGAGAUGGUUCUGAUAGAAUUUGCUCUCAUUUGUUCUUUCACUGAGAAGAAUUGGUAUUGGACACUGACUGUGAAAGAAAAUGAAAGACUUCUGGUCAUAAAUUAUAUGCAUAAAAUUUCCUAGAAAUAGUCCUUGAGAACAUAUAAUUAGAAGC